AGUCCCGUGGUGUAUAACAUUUCGGAUUGCAAAUCCGAAGACGCCGGUUAAUAGCCGACCGGGGCUU
rnacentral:tRNA from 1 species